AGGAUAUUUCGAUAUGAAAAAGCUGUUUCUUGCCACGACAAUCCUUGCAGCAAGCAUUGUAUCCGCUUCCGCCGCUGAUAUGGGCCGCCCCUAUACGAAGGCCCCUGUCUACGUCGCGCCUGUCUACAACUGGACCGGUUUCUAUGUUGGUGCGCAUAUCGGCGCAGCCUUCAGCGGAAACGACAGCGUCGAUCAGGUUCUUCCUGCUCCUGCCGCCUUCCCGCUCACGUCGAGCGAUCGUGACGCGACGUUCCUCGGCGGUGGUCAGGUCGGCGCCGACUAUCAGUUCGCUCCGAACUGG
rnacentral:misc_RNA from 1 species